CCUUUAAAAUAGCGUCAAAGCUUAAUUAUUAAUACAACAAAUCCCCUAAACAAAUUAGAACCCCACCUUAAUACUGAAUAAUUCUAUACAUUUAUAGAAGUCAUUAUGUUAAAACUAGUAACACGAAGAUAACCUUCUCUUAAAUGCAAGCUUAAGUCAGAGCGGGUAGUACACUGACAUUUAACAGCUUAAACCAAAGUGAUAACCUGACCAAGAAAACCUCACUAAACCACCUGUUAAUCUAACACAAGAGCAUUUUAAGAAAGACUAAAAGAGAAAGAAGGAACUCGGCAAAACUGAUUCCGCCUGUUUACCAAAAACAUCGCCUCCUGAACUAAAACUAUAAGAGGUCUAGCCUGCCCAGUGACUCUGUUUAACGGCCGCGGUAUCCUAACCGUGCGAAGGUAGCGUAAUCACCUGUUUUUUAAUUAAAGACCUGUAUGAAAGGCAUCACGAGAAUCGAACUGUCUCCUUUCCCAAGUCAGUGAAACUAAUCUCCUCGUGAAAAAGCGAGGAUACCUAUACAAGACGAGAAGACCCUUUGGAGCUUAAGACAACAUAAACACAUGCUCACUACACUUAAUUUUAUACCCCAUAAAGCAUAAUGUUUAUAAGUCUUGGGUUGGGGCAACCACGGAGUAUAAACUAACCUCCGAGAUGAACGAAACUUUCCUUAACAAAAAGCAACAACUUUAUGUAUCAGUAAACUGACAUAUUUUGACCCAAUUAUAAAUUGAUUAACGAACUAAGUUACCCUAGGGAUAACAGCGCAAUCCACUUCAAGAGUUCAUAUCGAAAAGUGGGCUUACGACCUCGAUGUUGGAUCAGGGUGCCCUGGUGGUGCAGCCGCUACCAAAGGUUCGUUUGUUCAACGAUUAAAACCUCACGCG
rnacentral:rRNA from 1 species